UUCUUAAUGAAAUCAAGCGGUUCUUGGGUGAAAACUAUGUAACUUUUAGAGACGAACAAAACCCACCGAACAAAUUUCGAAAUUCAUCACUGUUUGGGAGAUCUUUUGGUUCGCAAAUUUGAAGGUUUUUGGUGGGCUUUUGUAAACAUCAUCAUCAGCUCAUGUAAAAAUUGAAGGUUUUUGUGGGUUUUUGCAAACAUCAUCAUCAUGAGUUCAUGUUCAUCGUCAUCAGUACAUCUUCAUGUUCAUCCCAGUUUCGCAAGUCUAUCUCCGACUGAAAAUUCUAAUCUAUUCACCACUACUAACCUCCACUAACUCUACACCACUCCUCCAACACUGUGAAUAGCACGUCGUCGUGAAACGGUGGUUGGUGGUUGUUGGUGGGUUCGAUGAAGAUGGUUGGUAGUGAUGGUGGGUGUGCGGCGAAGAAUGGUGAUCGCUGUUAAGUGGGAAAAGAUGAAGAUGGAUCUGGACCUGGAUCUAGAAAGGUUGUGGUGUUUGGAAGAUGAAAUGAUAAUGAUAAAGAAUAAAGAGUAAACAUGACUUUUCUUGCAGGUGGAUUUCAUACAAUUUGGUUUAGAAGAUUUCUGGAAAUUUGAUUUUUAUUCUUGAAUAUGGGUUG
rnacentral:lncRNA from 1 species